rnacentral:rRNA from 1 species
GACGAACGCUGGCGGCGUGCCUAAUACAUGCAAGUAGGACGCAGUUGCGAACGGGUGAGUAACGCGUAGGUAACUACCUAUUAGCGGGUGAUAACUAUUGGAAACGAUAGCUAAUACCGCAUAAUAGUAGGUUGACCUGCGUUGUAGUAGCUAGUAGGUAGGGUAAUGGCCUACCUAGGCAACGAUACAUAGCCGACCUGAGAGGGUGACCGGCCACACUGGAACGGAGACACGGCCCAGACUCCUACGGGAGGCAGCAGUAGGGAAUCUUCGGCAAUGGGGGGAACCCUGAUCGAGCAACGCCGCGUGUGUGAAGAAGGUUUUCGGAUCGUAAAGCUCUGUUGUAAGAGAAGCGGUAUCUUACCAGAAAGCCACGGCUAACUACGUGCCAGCAGCCGCGGUAAUUC